GCGGGUGUAGUUCAAUGGUAGAAUUCCAGCCUUCCAAGCUGGCCGUGCGGGUUCGAUUCCCGUCACCCGCUCCA
rnacentral:tRNA from 3 species